UGCCUAGCAACUCCUAUCCCUACCUCCACGCGGUACCGGCCGGAAACUAUGAGCAACCUUAGGGAAGAUCGGGUAACCAACCCCGGUGGGAACUUUGGUCGUAGGCUGACAGGGAAGG
rfam:Aedes albopictus isolate Foshan contig50221, whole genome shotgun sequence.